UACUUCGGUGGUGCGGGUUGUCCGAUGCAAGCCUUAAGUGCAAGCGCAAAGCCCCAUCAUCCCGCGCACUGCUCAGCGACCAGAGCCGCAUCCGAGGCUUUUGCAGCCGGCGCUGAGACGCUCCCGAGCCGUAGCGAGCUGGUUCCCGGGCCAGCGAGACUCUCCUCUGCCUCCUGGGCAGGCGCAGUUAGAGAGGGGGCAUCUCCAGCAGACCAACACCUUGAAAGGACCUUGCAGGGCUCCCGGGCUCCGUUUCCCCCUCCACUCGUGAUUAGCAGGUACCGGCGCCGCCUGCUUCUCCUGCUCAGCCUCUGAGCGCACAUGGAGCCCGCGGCAUCUGCUUCCCCGGCAGCACCAGCGGCAGCAGCGGGGGCUCCUCAUCUCCCAGCAGAUCCAGCUGCCCCGACUGGGGCAGAAGCUGUUCCCACAGAGCAAGGACUCUCCCCACCACUCAUCAGAAUGAUUUCCUUGGGCCAUCCACUCAGGCUUUGCCCUGUCUCUGCCAAGACUUUGCUGCUGCUUCCCCCUGCUUGCCUGGAGUCUUGCCAUAGGAGGGGUUGCUUCUGGCUGCUUGGGGCUCUUUGGAGGACGGAGCUGAUACACGACCCCUGCAGGGGUCAGACUUAAAGUAGAGGAUCAUCCAGCAGGUUUUCCAGCUGAACAGCAUGCUCUGUCCAGCUACCACGCUACAUGUAUAUUACUAAAGCUGGUUAGCAACCACGUAUAAAGUUACCACACUAACCUGGGGGUGCAUCUCUGGGGGUUGAUUUCAGGCUUGAACAACGGUUCCUGCUUUGCUGGCCAGAUCAUCAUCCAGUGGCCAAUGGAAGCAGCUGCCCAAUGUGUGGAUGGAGCAGCAGCUUGUGCAGGUGCCAGUAUCCCCACACAGCUAGAGGCCCAGAGUGAAGCUGAGACCAGAGAUAUGGAGGUGGAGGAGAUGGGAGAACAGGAAGAUGAGAAGAUGGAUGUAGACUAGAGCAGUGGUUCACAGCAUUUUUGAUCCUGCAGCGUCCUAUCGGCUCAUUGCAGAGCCCCAUGACCACCUCCCCUUGGCCUCAAGCACGGCCCUAUCGCCUGCCUCCAUGGAGACCGGCUCCCCACAUUACACACGCCUCUUCCCAGUCAUUUCAGGACUUGGAAUAUCAUGGAUUUCCACUGAUGUAUUUUUGUAAUAUAUACUUUUGUAAUGUAUGUUUGCACCUCCAUUCAUAUCUUUGCCCCUCAGUAAAAACUGAGUAAACUCCGGAUGUGGGUUUGUGGGUUUGAAAGUGGACCUGUCAGACUCAUUUAGAUACAGGGUGACUAGAUAUUCUUCAGGAGUUUUGUUGAUCUGAUUCAGGUUGGGCUUGGGCACCUGUAACUAGCACUGGCCUGUCAAAGGCCAAUGGGAUGAGAGGUCAGCCUUAAUGCCCACAUUGCCCCAUGCUGGUGCAGGACCCUUUCACUACCAGCUGAAGCACCUUGCAUGGGGGGAUUCUUAGGGAAAUGACUGCAUUCACUUCAUAGACUGGGCAGAGCCAACGGUUCAAAGGGGCCUGAACAUAGUAGAGCAUCAAUGCUUCCACUGCCAACAAAGUUCAAAUUAGGCUCCCACAACAUUUAGAUGCUUUUUGAAAUUUUAAUUUAGGACUGGUUAAAUGUAGUUAAGAGCUUUAUUUUUUAAAUCACAUGAAGCAUUUUUUUUACUGUUAAACUGUUGCUGAGAAGUUGUUGAGUUUCUGAUUUUUAUACACCAAAGUUGUGCCUUUUGUCAGUUCUUUUUUGUAAAACUUUGUUGCCAAUGUUAUUAAACCUGCUGGUUCAGUGAAAGCCAGUCUUUUGGUCUAUAAAACAUUUUUAAAAAAGAAUUUCAAUUAAUGUUUUGAAAAAGUUCCAUUUCCAAAAGACAGAAAGAGUUUCAUUUAGAACACAAGGACCUGGGGCAUCUUUCAUGACAGUUGGAUUUUGGUUAUUGCCUGUUGUAAACUGUAUUACACUUACGUGCUAAAAUAUUUUAUUUUUUUAUUGGGGAUACACAUUACAUCUGUAAUUUUGACUACACUUAACUAGUGUGAGGAGUGUCCUCUGUUAUCAUGCAUGUACUAGUGAUUGUUGGAUUGGGGCAUUAGUAUUUGUAUGAAAUAAAGUUGGAAAUAUGGCUAUUAUAUGUCCUGCUGCUUUAUAAUACUGGAGGACAGGAGUGGGAGAUGUAAGUCAAAUCUUUUAAGCAGUGAAUAAAA